GCCCUCCUGUGGCACGAUGGGUCAGUGCACCUGGCCGUUAACCAGAAGGUUGGUGGUUCAAGACCACCCAGGGAUG
rnacentral:tRNA from 1 species